rnacentral:sRNA from 1 species
UAAUUGAAUAAUUUAACGAUUUCCCUUUCCUAUUUGAUAUUGAUUAGCUCAACAAUCCAUAUGUAAUGGAACUCUAUUCGCUUUUCUGAUUGUUGUAUAUUGUUGUAUAUAAAAUAAUAGAAUUAGGAAAUCCUCUAUUUACUAUUCACUGAAUAAUAACUUUUUUAUUGACAAAAGAAUAAAGAUCAUUUCUAUUUCAAGGUGGGGAGUUUUAUUUUCCCCAUCGAUCUA